rnacentral:misc_RNA from 1 species
GCCCGUCACACCAUGGGAGUGGGUUGCUCCAGAAGUAGCUAGUCUAACCGCAAGGGGGACGGUUACCACGGAGUGAUUCAUGACUGGGGUGAAGUCGUAACAAGGUAGCCGUAGGGGAACCUGCGGCUGGAUCACCUCCUUAAUCGAAGAUCUCAGCUUCUUCAUAAGCUCCCACACGAAUUGCUUGAUUCACUGGUUAGACGAUUGGGUCUGUAGCUCAGUUGGUUAGAGCGCACCCCUGAUAAGGGUGAGGUCGGCAGUUCGAAUCUGCCCAGACCCACCAAUUGUUGGUGUGCUGCGUGAUCCGAUACGGGGCCAUAGCUCAGCUGGGAGAGCGCCUGCUUUGCACGCAGGAGGUCAGGAGUUCGAUCCUCCUUGGCUCCACCAUCCAAACAAUCGUCGAAAGCUCAGAAAUGAAUGUUCGUGAAUGAACAUUGAUUUCUGGUCUUUGCACCACAACUGUUCUUUAAAAAUUCGGGUAUGUGAUAGAAGUAAGACUGAAUGAUCUCUUUCACUGGUGAUCAUUCAAGUCAAGGUAAAAUUUGCGAGUUCAAGCGCGAAUUUUCGGCGAAUGUCGUCUUCACAGUAUAACCAGAUUGCUUGGGGUUAUAUGGUCAAGUGAAGAAGCGCAUACGGUGGAUGCCUUGGCGC